UACGUAGGGGGCUAGCGUUGUCCGGAAUCACUGGGCGUAAAGAGCGUGUAGGCGGCCAGACAGGUCCGUUGUGAAAACUCGAGGCUCAACCUCGAGACGCCGAUGGAAACCGUCUGGCUAGAGUCCGGAAGAGGAGAGUGGAAUUCCUGGUGUAGCGGUGAAAUGCGCAGAUAUCAGGAAGAACACCCGUGGCUAAGGCGGCUCUCUAGUACGGUACUGACGCUGAGACGCGAAAGCGUGGGGAGCGAACAGG
rnacentral:rRNA from 1 species